CUCCUGUGUAAAAGUUCCAUGGGAAAAAUCGAAGAGUGGCUGUGCUCAAGAAUCUCUAGGCUUGUGUUACAGUAGCCAUGUCUCUACCCUCACUAGUCCUUACAGUGGGGACAGCUGGAGCAGAGAUCAGCAGGAAAUCUCAGGAAUGGCUGUGUGAAAAGGGGCACGACUUAAUUGCGAGGAGCAACCCAGUCUUUGCUGGAGAUAAAGGCCUGGAGAUGACCGUGAACUCUCCUGGGAAAAGCAGAAGGAAGAAGAAGCAGCUACUUGGUAGAUGAGAUAAACGGGACCGCAUCCAGGAGAUGAGAGAAUGUUGCUGCGUGUGGACAAGGGGUCUGCACCGAUUGUGUGAGCGCUCUGGUCGCGUGAACAGAUUGUAAACCAAUCGUAGAGCUACCGUUAGCGCGUGCUCUGCUUGCCUGUCUAUAUAUACUUUGU